rnacentral:rRNA from 1 species
AGAGUUUGAUCAUGGCUCAGGAUGAACGCUGGCGGCGUGCUUAACACAUUCAAGUCGAACGGAGUUCAAUUUGGGGAGCUUGCUCCCGGCUGAACUUAGUGGCGGACGGGUGAGUAAUGCAUGAGCAACCUGCCUUCAGGAGGGGGAUAACAUCGGGAAACCGGUGCUAAUACCGCAUAGAGCAUUUUGCAGGCAUCUGCGAGAUGGGAAAGGAGCAAUCCGCCUGGAGAUGGG